CCUACGGGCGGCAGCAGUGGGGGAUAUUGUACAAUGGGGGAAACCCUGAUGCAGCGACGCCGCGUGUGCGAAGAAGUAUUUCGGUAUGUAAAGCACUAUCAGCAGGGAAGAAGGAAUGACGGUACCUGAGUAAGCAGCACCGGCUAACUACGUGCCAGCAGCCGCGGUAAUACGUAGGGUGCAAGCGUUAUCCGGAUGUACUGGGUGUAAAGGGAGCGCAGGCGGCACGGCAAGUCUGAUGUGAAAGCCCGCGGCCCAACCGCGGGACUGCAUUGGGAACUACCGGGCUGGAGGGCCGGAGAGGGAGGUGGAAUUCCUAGUGUAGCGGUGAAAUGCGUAGAGAUUAGGAGGAACACCAGUGGCGAAGGCGGCCUACUGGACGGUGACUGACGCUGAGGCUCGAAAGCGUGGGGAGCAAACAGGAUUAGAUACCCUUGUAGUC
rnacentral:rRNA from 1 species